UGGGGAAUAUUGCACAAUGGGCGAAAGCCUGAUGCAGCAACGCCGCGUGAGUGAUGAAGGCCUUCGGGUUGUAAAGCUCUGUCUUCUGGGACGAUAAUGACGGUACCAGAGGAGGAAGCCACGGCUAACUACGUGCCAGCAGCCGCGGUAAUACGUAGGUGGCAAGCGUUGUCCGGAUUUACUGGGUGUAAAGGGUGCUCAGGCGGAUUUGUAAGUCAGAGGUGAAAUCUUACAGCUUAACUGUGAAACUGCCUUUGAUACUGCAAGCCUAGAGUAUGGAAGAGAGUGAUGGAAUAUCUGGUGUAGCAGUGAAAUGCGUAGAUAUCAGAUAGAACACCAAUGGCGAAGGCAGUCACUUGGUCCAUUACUGACGCUAAAGCACGAAAGCGUGGGUAGCAAACA
rnacentral:rRNA from 1 species